rnacentral:rRNA from 1 species
GGAUAAUUCGAUGCAACGCGAAGAACCUUACCAAGGCUUGACAUGUUCUCGAUCGCUGUAGAGAUACGGUUUCCCCUUUGGGGCGGGUUCACAGGUGGUGCAUGGUGUCGUCAGCUCGUGUCGUGAGAUGUUGGGUUAAGUCCCGCAACGAGCGCAACCCUCGUUCCAUGUUGCCAGCACGUAGUGGUGGGGACUCAUGGGAGACUGCCGGGGUCAACUCGGAGGAAGGUGAGGACGACGUCAAAUCAUCAUGCCCCUUAUGUCUUGGGCUUCACGCAUGCUACAAUGGCCGGUACAAUGGGUUGCGAUACUGUGAGGUGGAGCUAAUCCCAAAAAGCCGGUCUCAGUUCGGAUUGGGGUCUGCAACUCGACCCCAUGAAGUGGGAGUCGCUAUGUAAUCGCAGAUCAGCAACGCUGCGGUGAAUACGUUCCCGGGCCUUGUACACACCGCCCGUCAAGUCACGAAAGUUGGUAACACCCGAAGCCGGUGGCCUAACCCUUGUGGGGGGAGCCGUCGAAGGUGGGACCAGCGAUUG